AGUGAACGCUGGCGGUAGGCCUAACACAUGCAAGUCGAACGGCAGCACAGUAAGAGCUUGCUCUUACGGGUGGCGAGUGGCGGACGGGUGAGGAAUACAUCGGAAUCUACUUUUUCGUGGGGGAUAACGUAGGGAAACUUACGCUAAUACCGCAUACGACCUACGGGUGAAAGCAGGGGAUCCUCGGACCUUGCGCGAUUGAAUGAGCCGAUGUCGGAUUAGCUAGUUGGCGGGGUAAAGGCCCACCAAGGCGACGAUCCGUAGCUGGUCUGAGAGGAUGAUCAGCCACACUGGAACUGAGACACGGUCCAGACUCCUACGGGAGGCAGCAGUGGGGAAUAUUGGACAAUGGGCGCAAGCCUGAUCCAGCCAUACCGCGUGGGUGAAGAAGGCCUUCGGGUUGUAAAGCCCUUUUGUUGGGAAAGAAAAGCAGCAGGUUAAUACCCCGCUGUUCUGACGGUACCCAAAGAAAAAGCACCGGCUAACUUCGUG
rnacentral:rRNA from 1 species